UUUUGUGCGGUGAUGAAGCAAUUUGUGGACUAGAGUUUCUGAUCAUUUAGGGGUUUUAAAUUCCUAAAUGUUUGAAGACAAACCCUUGGCUGUCUGAGCAUACUA